AUUGAACGCUGGCGGCAGGCCUAACACAUGCAAGUCGAGCGAGCGGCGGACGGGUGAGUAAUGUAUGGGGACUGCCCGAUAGAGGGGGAUAACUACUCGAAAGAGUGGCUAAUACCGCAUACUAUCGGAUAACCCAUAUGGGAUUAGCUAGUAGGUGAGGUAAUGGCUCACCUAGGCGACGAUCCCUAGCUGGUCUGAGAGGCUGAUCAGCCACACUGGGACUGAGAACCGGCCCGACCUCCUAAGGGGGCAGCGAUGGGGAAUGUUGCACAAUGGGCGCAAGCCUGAUGCAGCCAUGCCGCGUGUAUGAAGAAGGCACUAGGGUUGUAAAGUACUUUCAGUCGGGAGGCGUUACCGACAGAAGAAGCACCGGCUAACUCCGUGCCAGCAGCCGCGGUAAUAC
rnacentral:rRNA from 1 species